rnacentral:rRNA from 1 species
CAGUCGCCGCGGUAAUACGUAGGUGGCGAGCAUUGUCCGGAAUUAUUGGGCGUAAAGGGAGCGCAGGCGGACAUAUAAGUCCAUCCUAAAAGUGCGGGGCUCAACCCCGUGAGGGGAUGGAAACUGUAUGCCUUGAGUGCAGGAGAGGAAAGCGGAAUUCCCAGUGUAGCGGUGAAAUGCGUAGAUAUUGGGAGGAACACCAGUGGCGAAGGCGGCUUUCUGGACUGCAACUGACGCUGAGGCUCGAAAGCCAGGGGAGCGAACGGGAUUAGAUACCCGAGUAGUCCCUGUCUCUUAUACA